GUUAAAGAAGAAGAGAGGUAGACGAAGCGACCUGGAAAGGUCCGUCGUAGAGGGUAACAACCCCGUAGUCGAAACUUCGUUCUCUCUUGAAUGU
rnacentral:rRNA from 1 species